rnacentral:lncRNA from 11 species
AUAGGUUUAUUGUGAAUGUAUUUCCAUUUUUUUGAAUAAAAUCUCGCAAGCCUGUCCAGUCCAUCUUCUUUUUGCCAUCACUUAAUUUCUGUGUUAGAAUGUCCAUUUGUAUUAAAUCCAGCCAUUUUAUAAUCCAUUCAUCUGUAGUGGGUACAUUUUUUUGUUUCUAAACUUUGGCUAGAACUAGUCUUGCAGCCGUGCUCAUUAAGAAAAACAUUUUAUCUUCAUUUUCCUUCAAUUUCCGGCUUGUUAUGCCUAGUAGAUACAAUUCCGGUUUUUAAUGGGAACUUGAUUUGUAGUAUUUUUUGUGUUAUCUGAUGUAUAUUUUUCGAGUACCUAUUAAUAUUUUUACACUUCCACCAUUUUACACUUCCACCAUUUCUUUAUCACAUUCCCAGCACUUAUUGGAUAUCUGUCUGUUAAAUUUGGCUAUUUUGACUGGGGUAUAAUACCACCUGAAUUGCAUUUUGUACCAAUUCUCUCGUAUCUCGGUGGCUACAGUAAAUCUAGUUUUUUGUUCCAUAUUUCUUCCCACUGAUUUAAGUUUAUAUUAUGCCCGAGAUCUUUGGCCCAUUUAACUUUAAGUCAAGUCAAGUUACCCAAUACAUUUUCAUUUGCAUUUUGUAAACCUUGGAAGCCUCCCAAAGUUAGUUUCAUGUUCAGCACAAGGAAGCAAAGCAAAGCCAAAAAGGCUGCCGUUCCUCUUUAAAUUAAUGGCCUCUCGCCAUGAGGAGAGGGAAGCAGCAAGGAAAAAGCAGAGUUUGCUGGGAAAGAGGCAGAGAAAGCACAGCAUACUGGUGGAUGUAGUUUGGGAAGGCAAGAAGCCCUAUGGCAGAGAAUUCAAAAGGCCCUGCCCCAAACUACAUUUCCCAGAAAUCUACUCAGCAUCAGAAAGCCCCAGUCAGGGGAGAGGAGAGAUUUCUCCCUCCAUUGCAGCAGUCAGAAAGAAUUCCAAUGAAUGGUUGAAUUUUCAAAGAGGACGGACUGAUACUUCUAGACCUAGAAACUUUCUAUUUUAA